GGGAGAUCCUGAGAUCUCCCCUGCCGGUCUCAAUGAACAUAGGCGUGCCGCGGGGAUUAGGGUGUGCCCAGGCACACCCGGCACACCCCGUGCGCACGCCUAUGGCGGUGAUAUAAACACUUAUGAACGGCAGAUGGCCAAUAAACAGACUUUGCUAGAAAGUAUAUAUAAAUUUAAUAAUACACACUAUAAAAUGUAAAGCAACAAGACAAUACAAUUAUAAUCAAUUUGCUGUAUUAUAUAUGAGUUUAUGUCAACAAGUCAAUUAGUUUACUUGACAAGCCUAAGAGUCAACCUUACUCUUUGUCUCAUCUAUAAUCUUAUCAACAAAGGACAAUAAAAGCUAUUAAAUAACUUCACAGCAAUACCAGUAUACAGAAUUAAUCAUAUGACACCCCUGCAUUAAUGAUACAAUGGUCAUUAUAAUAAUUAGUUAAAUAUCAACCAACCCUGCCAAGUAUAUACCAUCAGUUUAACUACAGUGCGUUUAUAUAAGGU